rnacentral:piRNA from 2 species
UGAGGAAUGUCAGAAGUUUUGGACCUUCUU